GACAGAGGGUGCAAACGUUGUUCGGAAUUACUGGGCGUAAAGCGCGUGUAGGCGGCUAAGUAAGUCGGGCGUGAAAUCCCACGGCUCAACCGUGGAAGUGCACUCGAAACUGCAUAGCUAGAGUCCUGGAGAGGAAGGUGGAAUGCUUGGUGUAGAGGUGAAAUUCGUAGAUAUCAAGCGGAACACCGGUGGCGAAGGCGGCCUUCUGGACAGUGACUGACGCUGAGACGGCGAAAAGCGUGGG
rnacentral:rRNA from 1 species